AGUGAGGAAUAUUGGUCAAUGGACGCAAGUCUGAACCAGCCAAGUCGCGUGAAGGAUGAAGGUAUUAUGUAUUGUAAACUUCUUUUGUCAGGGAAUAAUGGGUGUCACGUGUGACGCAGAGGAAUGUACCUGACGAAUAAGCAUCGGCUAACUCCGUGCCAGCAGCCGCGGUAAUACGGAGGAUGCGAGCGUUAUCCGGAUUUAUUGGGUUUAAAGGGUGCGUAGGCGGUUUGUUAAGUCAGUGGUGAAAGUUUGCGGCUCAACCGUAAAAUUGCCAUUGAAACUGGCGAACUUGAGUACAGUAGAGGUAGGCGGAAUUCGUGGUGUAGCGGUGAAAUGCUUAGAUAUCACGAAGAACUCCGAUUGCGAAGGCAGCUUGCUGGACUGUAACUGACGCUGAGGCACGAAAGCGUGGGGAUCAAA
rnacentral:rRNA from 2 species